rnacentral:rRNA from 1 species
UACGUAGGGUGCGAGCGUUGUCCGGAAUUACUGGGCGUAAAGCGUGCGCAGGCGGUUAUGUAAGACAGAUGGGAAAUCCCCGGGCUCAACCUGGGAACUGCAUUUGUGACUGCAUAGCUAGAGUACGGUAGAGGGGGAUGGAAUUCCGCGUGUAGCAGUGAAAUGCGUAGAUAUGCGGAGGAACACCGAUGGCGAAGGCAAUCCCCUGGACCUGUACUGACGCUCAUGCACGAAAGCGUGGGGAGCAAACAGG